GGGGUUGUGACUCAGUGGUAGUGCGCUUGCCUCACACAUAUGAGGCACUGAGUUCAAUUCUCAGCACCACA
rnacentral:tRNA from 1 species